rnacentral:rRNA from 1 species
UACGAAGGGGGCUAGCGUUGUUCGGAAUUACUGGGCGUAAAGCGUGCGCAGGCGGUUUGCUAAGACAGGUGUGAAAUCCCCGGGCUUAACCUGGGAACUGCGCUUGUUACUGGCAAGCUAGAGUGUGGCAGAGGGGGGUGGAAUUCCAGGUGUAGCAGUGAAAUGCGUAGAGAUCUGGAGGAACACCGAUGGCGAAGGCAGCCCCCUGGGCUAGCACUGACGCUCAGGCACGAAAGCGUGGGGAGCAAACAGG